CAAUAGCGUAUAUUAAAGUUGUUGCAGUUAAAAAGCUCGUAGUUGAAUUUCGGGUCCCCGCGCUCGGCGCUUCAUUGUGCCGUCGUGGUGUCCCUCCUCGCCGUAAGGCGUCCUUUACUGUGAAAAAAUUAGAGUGUUCAAAGUAGGCAAUCGCUUGAAUACAUUAGCAUGGAAUAAUAAGAUAGGAUCUUGUCUAUUUUGUUGGUUGCGGACAACGAUAAUGAUUAAUAGGGAUAGUUGGGGGUGUCCGUAUUGAGCUGUCAGAGGUGAAAUUCUUGGAUUUGCUCAAGACGAACUACUGCGAAAGCAUUCACCAAGGAUGUUUUCAUUAA
rnacentral:rRNA from 1 species